GAAGCCGGGAGGAAGCAGAGACAGGACACCUGACCCAAACUGACCAAAGAGGGACUACUAGUAUUUCAAAUCAAGAAAAAUGUAUACCUGUAAGGGAUGAAAAUACUAAGAAAACAUCUUUGUUUUAAGGAACUAGAUGGACUUUAGCUGUGGAAAUCUUCAGGACAAGGGAAGUUUUCCUUCUCAGUCCACCAGACACAAAACCCAGAGGACAUUCUGCACUAGAGGAGACCUUGCUUCUCUACCCAAUUAAAGCCAGGCUGCUGCAACCUCCUACCCUUUGUGCGGCCAGAAGAGAGACUGAGGGUGUAUUCCUAACAAACUCACACAAAUAUACCCAUACACAGAGGACUCUCCAGUAGCUGGUGAAACCCUUGUCUCACCAGUCUUGACCGUGUGCUCACUGCGACCUUUGAUUUUCUCUGCCUUUGCUACCUCCAAAAUAAUAAAAAGACCCACUUCAUAAUGAUGUGAAAAUAACAAAAAAAGGUGUGAGAGUCCUUUUUUUGUGUAAAAACUCAAGAUGAAAAAUCUGACCUUCACUACUGUGUUUAGAUGAGUUAUUUCAUGGAGAGACAACUUUCAUUUUACCUAAGCUUU